UACAGAGGGUGCGAGCGUUAAUCGGAAUUACUGGGCGUAAGGGCGUGGAGGGGGUUAUGUAAGUUUGAUGUGAAAGCCCCGGGCUUAACCUGGGAACUGCGUUGAAAACUACAAGACUAGAGUUGGACAGAGGGUGGUGGAAUUUCCGGUGUAGCGGUGAAAUGCGUAGAGAUCGGGAAGAACACCCGUGGCGAAGGCGGCCACCUGGGUCGAAACUGACGCUGAGGCGCGAAAGCGUGGGGAGCAAACAGG
rnacentral:rRNA from 1 species